GAGGAGGGGGAGGUGCUCCGCCCUGGGGAGCAGAGCCCCGGGUGGGGCAGGGGCAGCCCGGGGCCCAGCUACGGCAAAGCCAGGCCGGACACGCAGGCCUCGCGGCCGGGGUCUCCAAGGGGGAGCGGCUGGAGCUGAGCGUGGGGUCCCCCCCCGGGAACCCGGCGCCCGUGACCCCGACCAGCCCGGCCAACGCCCUGGCGGAAGGGGUCCUCACUCAGAUCGUCUUUGUCUUCUCUCUGCUGCUCUUCCUCUCUCUCUCCCUCUAUUUGUUUCUCACCCUUUCCUCGUUGAAGUCCCCUGCCAAGUUGCGUGACCCUUUCCUGUCCUUCUUGCCGGUUUAGUACUCACUGCUUGACUGACACUGCCCAUAGCACUGUGUUCCGCCCCACCAUGGUAGAUAUGGCCUUGCAUGCAGUCGCCACGACUAAUCUCACCAUGUUUGACAUCCCAUAAUAACCACCCAUGUAUUGUUUUGAUAUGUAAGCCAGUGCAACAUAGUGCGCACUCUCCGGGGCCCUUGCUAGAGCACUACCACGGUAGGCCCUCAGCAACCGGCCAGCAUUACCAAUGAUAGCGCUGCCUUUUCCCCGAGGCCUUGUUGACCGCUGCAGUAACACCUGUGUCUUCCUCCUCCUCCCCCUCCUCCUCCUCUUCCUCAACUUCUUCUUCUUCCCCCUCUUCUUCG
ensembl:lncRNA